UCCCUGGUGGCUUAGCAGUAAAGAAUCUACCUGCAAUGCAGGAGACACGGGUUCGAUCCCUGUGUUGGGAA
rnacentral:tRNA from 1 species